rnacentral:pre_miRNA from 1 species
GGCUGCUUCUUUUUCUCUCUGGGCACGUUGUUCAUUCCUCUUCCUAAAAUGGCUUCUUCUCCUUUAGUUGUUGCAAUUAUAGGAGAGGAGAAUCCAUUUUAGGAAGGGAAUGAAUACUGUGUCGGUUUUACGAGGGAGACAAUC